GGUUCGGUGGUCGAGUGGUGAACGCGUUCGCCUCUUGAGCAGAAGUUUGUGGGUUCGGUUCCCAUACAUGGUUUA